CUACGGGGUGCUGCAGUGGGGAAUCUUGCGCAAUGGGGGGAAACCCUGACGCAGCGACGCCGCGUGAACGAAGAAGGCCUUCGGGUUGUAAAGUUCUGUCGCGAGAGAAGAAUCUGGACGGGUAACGCCGUUCAGCGACGGUAUCUCGUGAGAAAGCAGUGGCUAACUCCGUGCCAGCAGCCGCGGUAAUACGGAGACUGCGAGCGUUGUUCGGAAUCACUGGGCGUAAAGCGGGUGUAGGUGGCUUGAUAAGUCGGAUGUGAAAGCCCACGGCUCAACCGUGGAGGGUCAUCCGAAACUGUCUGGCUUGAGUUUGGGAGAGGGAAGUGGAAUUCCCGUUGUAGAGGUGAAAUUCGUAGAUAUCGGGAGGAACACCAGUGGCGAAGGCGACUUCCUAGACCAAUACUGACGCUGAGACCCGAAAGCGUGGGGAGCAAACAGGAUUAGAUACCCCGGUAGUC
rnacentral:rRNA from 1 species